UGUGUGCAUGUGUGUGUGUGUGUGUGUGUGUGCAUGUGGACAUAUAUAUACAUACAUACAUAUAUAUAUUCGUACACACAUAUAUAAAUAUGCACACACAAACACACACACACACAUAUCGCGUGGUGUCGCAGUUGGAAGGGCACCGCAUGUCUCGGGGUGUCUUGUGCGCACUUGGCAGCCCUUGAAAAUUCGGAGGACCGAGGGCGACCAUGCCUGGUUUUGGUCAUAACCGCAUCAGGUCUCCCAGGUGAAUAGCCUUUGGUCAAUGGAACAAUGUAGGCAAGGGAAGUCGGCGAAAUGGAUCCGCAACUUUGGGAAAAGGAUUGGCUUUGAGGGUUGGGCACGACGGUCCCAGUUCCGAACGCGUCGAUAGACUGCUCGAGCGAGUCACCGCGUGUCGACAGGGGGACAGAUUGGGAACGAUUGCUCAGGGGCUUUCCCCGGGCAUCGAACAGUCAAUUCAAAACUGGUACUGACAAGAGGAAUCUGACUAUUUAAUUAAAAUAAAGCAUUGCGAUGGUCCCUACAGAUACUAACGCAAUAUGAUUUCUGCCUAGUGCUCUGAAUGUUAAAGUGAAGAAAUUUAACCAAGCGCGGGUAAAUGGCGGGAGUAACUAUAACUCCCUUAAGCUAGCCAAAUGCUUCGUCAUCUAAUUAGUGAUGCACAUGAAUGGAUUAACGAGAUUCCCACUGCCCCUGUCUACUAUCAAGCGAAACCACAGCCAAGGGAAUGGGCUUAGUAGAAUCAACUGGGAAAGAAGACCCUCUUGAGCUUGACUCUAGUUCGACUUUGUGAAAUGACUUGAGAGGUGUAGCAUAAGUGGGAGCUUCGAUGCAAGUGAAAUAGCACUACUUUUGACGUUAUUUUAUUUAUUCCGUGAGUCGAAGGCGGGGCAUCACCCUUCUUUUUGAACCUAAGGCUCGCAUCGUAGGCUAAUCCUGGAGGAGGACAUUAUCAGGUGGAGAGUUUGGCUGGGGCGACACGUUUGUUAAAAGAUAACACAGGUGUUCUAAAAUGAGCUCAAUGAGAACAGAAAUCUCGUGUUGGAGUCGAGGGGUAAGUCCUAGUCGAAUUCUGAUUUUUAGUGUGAAUACGAACCGUGAAAGUGUGGCCUACCGAUCCUUUAGACCUUUGGAAUUUGAAGCUAGAGGUGUCAGAAAAGUUACCAUAGGGAUAACUGACUCGUGGCAGCCAAACAUUCACAGCAAUGUUGCUUUUUGAUCCUUUGAUGUCGGCUCUUGCUAUCAUUGUGAAGCAGAAUUCACCAAGUGUUGGAUUGCUCACCCACUAAUAGGGAACAUGAGCUAGGUUUAGACCGUCAUGAGACAGAUUAGUUUUACCCCACUAAUGACAAUGUCGCGAUGGUAAUUUAACCUUGUACAAGAGGAAUGUAAUAGCCCAACCCUAAAAUUAUUUAAUUAUGAUUAUUUAUUUAAUUCACGUGCAUAAUUUUUCUUCACUUAUUUCAUUUAUUUUAUAUAUUCACCCCAGUGGAAAAAUUUUAUUUGGGCCCUCACUUGGUGAUUCAGAUUUUAAUUGUUUAUCUAAUUGAUUAACGAAAACUAUGGAAGAUUUGAUAGUAGGCCCUAACAAGUUUAAUCUACGUAAUUUAUUUUGUUUUCCACGACAUUGCAAAGCUUUAAUUUUUAGUUUUGUAAAAACGUUAUCAUUAUGAUGCGUUUUAUUCCCGAAUCCAAUUUAUUUCAGCCGUUUUGCCACCAAGUUUGACUAUUAAUCAAAC
rnacentral:rRNA from 1 species